AUUGAGUAUUGUGGUGGUACAGAUAUGUGAAAAUGUUUAGGUUUGAAGGUUUUCAAUGGUGAAGUACAUAUGUGAUCUUAGAGGUGAAUCAUUGUGGAUUUGGAUUCUUGUAUUGUCAUGGAUAUUGUUGAGUUUGUGAAAUUAGCUCUAGAGAUUACCUUUAUGGCUGCCUUCAUUUCCUGAUCGGUUUACUUGCAUACACACGUUUGCAUAGAAUGAGAGGGUUAUCUGAUCCGUAAGCUGCUGAUAAAAUUGAGUUAGCGAAGACAACAAAGGAAGGGAGAAAAAG
rnacentral:misc_RNA from 1 species